rnacentral:misc_RNA from 1 species
GAAGGAUCGAAGAGUGGUGAAUUCUAAGCAACAAGAUUAUGGAAUGUGUUUUCGGCUUAGUCGGUAAUGGUUUCGCCAUUGUUGCCGCUGAUUCUUCGGCGGUUCACAGCAUCUUGGUCCAUAAAUCCGACGAGGACAAGAUUAUGGUCCUCGACUCUCACAAGCUCGUCGCUGCUAGUGGCGAGCCUGGUGACAGGGUUCAGUUCACCGAGUACAUCCAGAAGAAUGUGGCGUUGUAUCAGUUCCG